rnacentral:tRNA from 1 species
GGGAAUGUAGCUCAGUGGUAGAACACUUGCUUAGCUUGCAUAAGGCCCUGGGUUCAAUCCCCAGCAUUGCUA